rnacentral:rRNA from 1 species
UAGGGAAUCUUCCGCAAUGGACGCAAGUCUGACGGAGCAACGCCGCGUGAGUGAAGAAGGAUUUCGGUUCGUAAAACUCUGUUGUUAGAGAAGAACAGCGCAUAGAGUAACUGUUAUGCGUGUGACGGUAUCUAACCAGAAAGCCACGGCUAACUACGUGCCAGCAGCCGCGGUAAUACGUAGGUGGCAAACGUUGUCCGGAUUUAUUGGGCGUAAAGCGAGCGCAGGCGGUCAAUUAAGUCUGAUGUGAAAGCCCCCGGCUCAACCGGGGAGGGUCAUUGGAAACUGGUUGACUUGAGUGCAGAAGGGGAGGGUGGAAUUCCAUGUGUAGCGGUGAAAUGCGUAGAUAUAUGGAGGAACACCAGUGGCGAAGGCGACUCUCUGGUCUGUAACUGACGCUGAGGCUCGAAAGCGUGGGUAGCAAACAGG